CAAAAAGAAAUUGCGGAUAGUCGGCGUUGACAAAUUUUGUCAACGGAUUGUGACUCUGUAAUUGCAUUCUUUCUUCUGUCAGUUAUCAGCUGUUACUUUUAGCUUGCUUUAGAAAACAAGUGCGCGAAAUUUUGUUUACAUUUGUUUGUUUGGCGUCAAUUUUAAUAUGGAGCCCACAAAGAAGCAUUUUCGUCAUAUUUUACUUUAUUAUUUCCGUAAAGGAAAGAACGCGGAGCAGGUUGCUAAAAAGUUACGAGAUGUAAAUGGUGAUGAAGCCUUAAAAGGAAGACAGUGUCAAAAUUGGUUUUGGCCAUCAAGGAGAAGCGACCAGAAUUGGUCAAUCGUAAAGGUGUCAUAUUCCACCAGGACAACGCUAGACCGCACACUUCUUUGGUCACUCUCCAAAAACUGAGUGAGCUUGCCUGGGAACUUUUGAUGCAUCCACCAUAUAGCCCUGACCUUGCCCCAUCAGACUACCAUUUAUUACGAUCUUUGCAGAACUACUUACAUGGUAAAACUUUUAGCAAUGAUGAGGCUAUAAAAUCGCACUCGGUUCAGUUUUUUUGCAUAUAAAGACCAGAAGUUCUAUGAGCGUGGAAUACUAAAUUUGCCAGGAAGAUGGCAAAAGGUUAUCGAACAAAAUGGCAAUUAUAUAUUUGAUUAAAGUUCAUUCUAAGUUUUAUGAAAAAUUCAUUUACUUUCUUUUAAAAAAUCCGCAAUUACUUCAAUAAUAAUAAUAAUUAAAUAUUUUGCAUACCUUAAUGCUGUUUGUUAUUGUUGGUAAUUGAUACGUAAACCGCGACAUAAAUAUUUUUCUGAGGCAUUUGGUAAAGCGUUAAUACGUCAGAUCUUUAAAAUUUGUAACUGUGGGCACAGACAAUUUGAAAAUUGUUUAGUGCAUCAUUUGACAUAGGACACCUUGUUUUAUAAAUUCUUUUUAAGUAAAUUCUUUUUCAUUUAGGCUGGAGCUACAUUCGGAAAGUGGAAAUAAUAAACCAGAACUAAUUUUUAUGGACCAAGUAGAAGAUAUAUCAUCGGAUUUCAUUCUGCACAAAAACGAGAAUUGCAUUCAAAUUCGCAUUAAUGAUGGAACCCGUGAUGGCAGAAUCAUUUUGACAAACUCAGAUGAAAUAGGAUUAAAAGAAUGGUCAUCUUCCCUAAGAUCGGCACACAAAAUUUCUCAAGACCUCUUGGGAUCAAUGGCUAAAAAA